UCUUUAAAAAACCUUUAUAAAUCUUUUAAAGCCCUUUAAAAUCCCUUGUAAAUCUUUUAAAACCCUUGUAAAUCUUUUCAAACCCUUUUAAAAUCCCUUGUAAAUCUCUUAAAACCCUUUUAAAAUCCCUUGUAAAUCUAUUUCCCGCCAAAAAAUGUUUUUGCAAAAAAUAUAUUUUUGAAAAAAAAAACUUUGCGGGAAAUCUUUUUUCGAAAUUUUUUGGUGGAAAAUUUUUUUGGCGGGAAUUUUUUUUUAGAAUAUUUUGGAUAAAAAUAUUAAUAUUUCAUUUUGUUAACCUAAAACAAUAUCUAAAUAAGGGUAAAAUGGUCAUUAAAAAUUUGAAGAGGGUAGAAAUGAAAAUGGCUAAAGAAAAAGGGUAGAGUUGAAAAUGGUUAUCAUGAAAGGGCAUUAGAAAGAAUUUUUCUAUAUAAUCGAUAU
rnacentral:sRNA from 1 species